rnacentral:rRNA from 1 species
UACGGAGGAUCCAAGCGUUAUCCGGAUUCAUUGGGUUUAAAGGGUGCGUAGGCGGAAUGAUAAGUCAGCGGUGAAAUCCCUCGGCUUAACCGAGGAACUGCCGUUGAUACUGUCAAUCUUGAGUACAUUUGAUGUGGGCGGAAUGUGUCAUGUAGCGGUGAAAUGCUUAGAUAUGACACAGAACACCGAUUGCGAAGGCAGACUC